GACGAACGCUGGCGGCGCGCCUAACACAUGCAAGUCGAACGAGCGAGAGAGAGCUUGCUUUCUCUAACGAGUGGCGAACGGGUGAGUAACGCGUGAGGAACCUGCCUCAAAGAGGGGGACAACAGUUGGAAACGACUGCUAAUACCGCAUAAGCCCACAGGUCGGCAUCGACCAGAGGGAAAAGGAGCAAUCCGCUUUGAGAUGGCCUCGCGUCCGAUUAGCUAGUUGGUGAGGUAACGGCCCACCAAGGCGACCAUCGGUAGCCCGGACUGAGAGGUUGAACGGCCACAUUGGGACUGAGACACGGCCCAGACUCCUACGGGAGGCAGCAGUGGGGAAUAUUGCACAAUGGGGGAAACCCUGAUGCAGCGACGCCGCGUGGAGGAAGAAGGUCUUCGAGAUUGUAAACUCCUGUUGUUGGGGAAGAUAAUGACGGUACCCAACAAGGAAGUGACGGCUAACUACGUGCCAGCAGCCGCGGUAAAACGUAGGUCACAAGCGUUGUCCGGAAUUACUGGGUGUAAAGGGAGCGCAGGCGGGAAGACAAGUUGGAAGUGAAAUCUAUGGGCUCAACUCAUAAACUGCUUUCAAAACUGUUUUUCUUGAGUAGUGCAGAGGUAGGCGGAAUUCCCGGUGUAGCGGUGGAAUGCGUAGAUAUCGGGAGGAACACCAGUGGCGAAGGCGGCCUACUGGGCACCAACUGACGCUGAGGCUCGAAAGUGUGGGUAGCAAACAGGAUUAGAUACCCUGGUAGUCCACACCGUAAACGAUGAUUACUAGGUGUUGGAGGAUUGACCCCUUCAGUGCCGCAGUUAACACAAUAAGUAAUCCACCUGGGGAGUACGACCGCAAGGUUGAAACUCAAAGGAAUUGACGGGGGCCCGCACAGGCAGUGGAGUAUGUGGUUUAAUUCGACGCAACGCGAAGAACCUUACCAAGUCUUGACAUCCCUUGACGAUGCUGGAAACAGUAUUUCUCUUCGGAGCAAGGAGACAGGUGGUGCAUGGUUGUCGUCAGCUCGUGUCGUGAGAUGUUGGGUUAAGUCCCGCAACGAGCGCAACCCUUAUGGUCAGUUACUACGCAAGAGGACUCUGGCCAGACUGCCGUUGACAAAACGGAGGAAGGUGGGGAUGACGUCAAAUCAUCAUGCCCUUUAUGACUUGGGCUACACACGUACUACAAUGGCGUUAAACAAAGAGAAGCAAGACCGCGAGGUGGAGCAAAACUCAGAAACAACGUCCCAGUUCGGACUGCAGGCUGCAACUCGCCUGCACGAAGUCGGAAUUGCUAGUAAUCGUGGAUCAGCAUGCCACGGUGAAUACGUUCCCGGGCCU
rnacentral:rRNA from 1 species